UGAUGACUGUUCCUCUCACUGCUGCAAGCCUCCAACAGUGGGAUUUUAUGUCAUCAAAUACUAACAUGACUUUUCUUCACUCAAAAGUGUCUUUAGAUGGGUUGGCCAUCUGUGACACGGUUGAACUUUUGCGGGGUCGCACAUUC
ensembl:snoRNA small nucleolar RNA, H/ACA box 79B